UACGAACCGUGCGAACGUUAUUCGGAAUCACUGGGCUUAAAGCGCGUGUAGGCGGGACGGCACGUCGGUUGCUGAAAUCCCCCGGCUUAACCGGGGAACUGGCGUCGAUACGACCGCCCUGGAGGGGCGUAGGGGGACCUGGAACUUCCGGUGGAGCGGUGAAAUGCGUUGAGAUCGGAAGGAACGCCCGUGGCGAAAGCGAGGUCCUGGACGGCUACUGACGCUGAGACGCGAAAGCCAGGGGAGCGAACGGG
rnacentral:rRNA from 1 species